rnacentral:rRNA from 1 species
UACGUAGGCAGCAAGCGUUGUUCGGAGUUACUGGGCGUAAAGGGUGCGUAGGCGGCCCUGUAAGUAUGGUGUGAAAUCUCCCGGCUUAACUGGGAGGGUGCGCUAUAGACUGCGGGGCUCGAGUGUGGGAGAGGAAAGUGGAAUUCCUGGUGUAGCGGUGAAAUGCGUAGAUAUCAGGAGGAACACCGGUGGUGUAAACGGCUUUCUGGACCGAUAACUGACGCUGGAGGCAACGAAAGCGUUGGGUAGCAAACAGG